rnacentral:rRNA from 1 species
GUCCCGUACACAAAAGUGCAUGUGUUGUGAACUCGAAGAGUAGGGCGGGACACGUGGUAUCCUGUCUGAAUAUGGGGGGACCAUCCUCCAAGGCUAAAUACUCCUGACUGACCGAUAGUGAACCAGUACCGUGAGGGAAAGGCGAAAAGAACCCCGGCGAGGGGAGUGAAAAAGAACCUGAAACCGUGUACGUACAAGCAGUGGGAGCACCCUUUGGGGUGUGACUGCGUACCUUUUGUAUAAUGGGUCAGCGACUUAUAUUCUGUAGCAAGGUUAACCGAAUAGGGGAGCCGAAGGGAAACCGAGUCUUAACUGGGCGUUAAGUUGCAGGGUAUAGACCCGAAACCCGGUGAUCUAGCCAUGGGCAGGUUGAAGGUUGGGUAACACUAACUGGAGGACCGAACCGACUAAUGUUGAAAAAUUAGCGGAUGACUUGUGGCUGGGGGUGAAAGGCCAAUCAAACCGGGAGAUAGCUGGUUCUCCCCGAAAGCUAUUUAGGUAGCGCCUCGUGAAUUCAUCUUCGGGGGUAGAGCACUGUUUCGGCUAGGGGGUCAUCCCGACUUACCAACCCGAUGCAAACUGCGAAUACCGAAGAAUGUUAUCACGGGAGACACACGGCGGGUGCUAACGUCCGUCGUGAAGAGGGAAACAACCCAGACCGCCAGCUAAGGUCCCAAAGUCAUGGUUAAGUGGGAAACGAUGUGGGAAGGCACAGACAGCCAGGAUGUUGGCUUAGAAGCAGCCAUCAUUUAAAGAAAGCGUAAUAGCUCACUGGUCGAGUCGGCCUGCGCGGAAGAUGUAACGGGGCUAAACCAUGCACCGAAGCUGCGGCAGCGACACUAUGUGUUGUUGGGUAGGGGAGCGUUCUGUAAGCCGUUGAAGGUGUACUGUGAGGUAUGCUGGAGGUAUCAGAAGUGCGAAUGCUGACAUAAGUAACGAUAAUGCGGGUGAAAAACCCGCACGCCGGAAGACCAAGGGUUCCUGUCCAACGUUAAUCGGGGCAGGGUGAGUCGACCCCUAAGGCGAGGCCGAAAGGCGUAGUCGAUGGGAAACAGGUUAAUAUUCCUGUACUUGGUGUUACUGCGAAGGGGGGACGGAGAAGGCUAUGUUAGCCGGGCGACGGUUGUCCCGGUUUAAGCAUGUAGGCGGNNNNNNNNNNNNNNNNNNNNNNNNNNNNNNNNNNNNNNNNNNNNNNNNNNNNNNNNNNNNNNNNNNNNNNNNNNNNNNNNNNNNNNNNNNNNNNNNNNNNCAUGGAGCUGAAAUCAGUCGAAGAUACCAGCUGGCUGCAACUGUUUAUUAAAAACACAGCACUGUGCAAACACGAAAGUGGACGUAUACGGUGUGACGCCUGCCCGGUGCCGGAAGGUUAAUUGAUGGGGUUAUCCGUAAGGAGAAGCUCUUGAUCGAAGCCCCGGUAAACGGCGGCCGUAACUAUAACGGUCCUAAGGUAGCGAAAUUCCUUGUCGGGUAAGUUCCGACCUGCACGAAUGGCGUAAUGAUGGCCAGGCUGUCUCCACCCGAGACUCAGUGAAAUUGAACUCGCUGUGAAGAUGCAGUGUACCCGCGGCAAGACGGAAAGACCCCGUGAACCUUUACUAUAGCUUGACACUGAACACUGGUCCUUGAUGUGUAGGAUAGGUGGGAGGCUUUGAAGUGUGGACGCCAGUCUGCAUGGAGCCAUCCUUGAAAUACCACCCUUUAAUGGCUGGUGUUCUAACGUAGACCCGUAAUCCGGGUUGCGGACAGUGUCUGGUGGGUAGUUUGACUGGGGCGGUCUCCUCCUAAAGAGUAACGGAGGAGCACGAAGGUUAGCUAAUCCUGGUCGGACAUCAGGAGGUUAGUGCAAAGGCAUAAGCUAGCUUGACUGCGAGAGUGACGGCUCGAGCAGGUGCGAAAGCAGGUCUUAGUGAUCCGGUGGUUCUGAAUGGAAGGGCCAUCGCUCAACGGAUAAAAGGUACUCCGGGGAUAACAGGCUGAUACCGCCCAAGAGUUCAUAUCGACGGCGGUGUUUGGCACCUCGAUGUCGGCUCAUCACAUCCUGGGGCUGAAGUAGGUCCCAAGGGUAUGGCUGUUCGCCAUUUAAAGUGGUACGCGAGCUGGGUUUAGAACGUCGUGAGACAGUUCGGUCCCUAUCUGCCGUGGGCGCUGGAGAAUUGAGGGGGGCUGCUCCUAGUACGAGAGGACCGGAGUGGACGCAUCACUGGUGUUCGGGUUGUCAUGCCAAUGGCAUUGCCCGGUAGCUAAAUGCGGAAGAGAUAAGUGCUGAAAGCAUCUAAGCACGAAACUUGCCCCGAGAUGAGUUCUCCCUGA